rnacentral:tRNA from 1 species
AUUACUUUGGCAGAUUAAGUGCAUUAAAUUUAGAAUUUAAAAUAUAUAAAAUUUAUUAUAGGUAAUA